GAGUCAGCGCUGCUGCCGCCGCCGCGUGCCCCCUCUCUGAGAAUUCGGGCUGCGCACCGCCAACUUGCUGAGUUCGCCCUGCGGCCAGGCGGGGUGGGCCCCGGCGUGGUCGGUCGCGUGCCUGGCUGCGGCCUUGGUCACCGAGCGCGGUGGCACGACGGCGGGACCCAUUCGUGCCGUCGCGUCUGCCCGAUCCGGUUACGCCGCUGCCGGUAGCUCGGUAGUCGCAGCUGAGUCAGCUGUUGCGAGCCGCGGGUCUGCUCCUAUAGCUGUCCAGAUUGUUAGACGACUGGACACCAGCUUUAUCGCUACCAGCCCUGCAAGACAAUGAGUUCCGGAAGCUGACAGGGAACAUUGCCCGGCACAUCCAACUUGCUGCCUCCUAAUCAGGACUGAGACUGACAGAAUCCAGUCAUCAUUUAGUCCAAUAAACUUUUAAGAAAGGAAACAAAGCAAUGUCAAGACCUCUACGCUACUGCAUGAGCAGUGAUUUUCAAAUUCCAAUUCUCGUCAGAUUUUGUCAAAUGUAACAGCCUCUACUACCACUCCGAAAUAUACUUGUACAUUACCUGUUUUCUGGGAUUCUGUGACAUAAAUGAAACCACACUCAAGAAGGUGUUCUUUAUGUGACUGACGAACUGCCUACUGCCCUAAGGAAGCACCUCAGUGUUCUUUAAUAUUAGGAAUAAAAUUGUCAGUUUGGGACUCUA